UACGGAGGGAGCUAGCGUUGUUCGGAAUUACUGGGCGUAAAGCGCACGUAGGCGGCUUUGUAAGUUAGAGGUGAAAGCCCGGGGCUCAACCCCGGAAUUGCCUUUAAGACUGCAUCGCUUGAAUCCGGGAGAGGUGAGUGGAAUUCCGAGUGUAGAGGUGAAAUUCGUAGAUAUUCGGAAGAACACCAGUGGCGAAAGGCGGCUCACUGGACCGGCAUUGACGCUGAGGUGCGAAAGCGUGGGGAGCAAACAGG
rnacentral:rRNA from 1 species